GGUGACUCAGCAGUAGAGUGCUUGCCUUGCAUGCAUGAGGCCCUGGGUUCGAUUCCUCAGCACCA
rnacentral:tRNA from 1 species